GACGGAAGGCGCUCGGGGACCUGCCGGCGUCGCGGGGGGGGGCGGGGAGCCCGGCAGCCCCGCCACGGCCGCCUACCUUCAGUGGCGGGCCGGCUCCCUUCGGGCUGGGGAGCUCCUGUAACGAAUGGGGACCGGCCCGGGUAGGGGGUGUCCCGCCGCGGGCCCGGCCGGGCGGGGGAGGUUGGUCCCUCGGCGGGAAAGAGCGGGGGUUGAUCCCAGCAAUGUGGUGUCUCACAGAUGCUGCAAGGGGCUAAUUGUAACAGCUAGCUCUGUGCUUUUCUGGAUGUUCUGAUUAGCAAGACCUGCUGGGACAGAACAGGAGGCUGCAAGUGAGAGGAAGAAUGACAAAGCAGGAGCACUCAGGAGAGGCACGGCCAAGCACUACUCAAAGGCUGAGGGGACAAGCAGAGCAGAAGGAAAGAGAAACAGUGAACACCGCAGUGCAAACAACUGGACGUCUGAAGAGACACAAUUUCAGCAGGGAGGUGACAGCACCAUGUGUAACUCCAUCUCCUCCUAACAGCUGUUUUAGCCUGCUGUCACCCCAGGCAUGACAAUCCGUUCAGUGGAAGUCACAGUGACUUUUGCGGUCAGGGAGAACAGCAAAAUGCUGAAGCAAUUUAAUACUUUUUCUUUGCCACAGCUUUCCCAGUUGCCUCUAUUUUCCCUCUCCCAUUAGUACACCUUGACCUUCACAAAGGAGGUUUCUCAGUGCUUAGUGUUUGUUUUGCAUGGGCCAGACAAAGCUUCACCUCAAAUGUUGGCUGCCUGUUAGAAAGCUGAGAGCUCAGCUCUUACACAACAGUCCCACAAGCAUCGGCAGGUAGCCGAAGUUUCUUAGUAACCCGGAGCCUUGGCUUUACAUAAGCCACCAACCAGGAGUUACAUGCUGUCUUCCCUGUUACGACUGUUUAUUAACCAGAUGAAUUUCGUAAGCAGUUCUUCUCUUUGCCGAUGGACAACAGCAGGUUUGUGUAGAAAAGGAAAGACCCGUCUCCUUAGGUGAGCCACUUUUUUUUUUUCCCUUAUGUUGCUUUGUGAUUAAAAGCAAAGCCACUUGGAUGGGCAACAACUUGGAGUACAGAAGUGGCGGCUAAAAACAUUUGGCCUCUUUCCACCUACUGCUGUGCAGAAAAACAAGCAGAGCAAUGGCACAGUGCAGAGAGGAAAGGAAGAGCUCUUCUUUCUAGACACCAGAGAGAAGAGGUGCGCUGCCCUGGAUACUGCAAAACAGCCUUAAAGCCAGGAUUUCAGGAAGGUCUAAAGGCAGGUGGUAGGAAAAUUCCUUUUAGCCUUUAUUAAGUCAUCUUAACAAAGCAACUGGAGUAAAUAAAGAUAAUUCAGUCACCUUUUGAUUCUCAGCCACCUGUCCAUGAGCAAAACCAGACCUCUAAUGCACUGUAAAGCUGUAAUAUCUACAAGAACACCUCCUCUCCUCUGCAGUAUUUUACCCAAGUAUCUUGCGAGAAAAAGCCUGUGUGUCUCAGGAAAUGCAUACAAUGCAGAAGAGGAAGCUGAAGAAGCCAUGUGACUUGGACACAGUCACUUAAAUCUGAAUCAUGCAUUCACAGUCCAACCAGUACACUGUCAGCCAGCUUGAGAGGUCAGAGUGGAUACUUUGAAGAUCUGUGAGCUUUUCUUGCUUCUCGCUAAAGAAAUUGAAAUCCACUUUGGGGGAAGAAAAGAAGGAGAAGUGGGAGAUUACCCUUUCUUUCACAACCUCCUCAACACAUCUGGCAUCUUCAAGAAAUUUUAAAAUGUCAACUCCAUCUGCCCAAGUGAAACAUUUUUCAGACAUCUGCUCCUCCCCUGCCUUCUCUUCAAGCCUUUUCAUAUCAUUUUGUUCCUCUUUUAGUGAUAAAAGUAGUACAGUUAUGGGAAACAAAGGGGUAACCCUCAAGCCAAGCUGGUGAGCUUCAUGGUAAAACUGCAUUCUUACUGAGCAAGACAGCCAACACCUGCAUUUGUGUGCUUACUUCUUACAGAACCCAAAAUUUCCACUCCGGGUGCUUAACACACUCUUCCAACUGAAUAUGUGGGGGCUCGUAAUUUAUAGUUGAGGCCCCAGAUUCUGUUUCAGUUAUAGGAUUUAGGGCUUCUUCAAAGAAGUCGGGUACAUAAAGUCAAUCAAUCAUGACAUACUUCUGGAUCUGUGAACAGGUGAAGUUAUCCAUGCCAUAGGAUCUGCAACCCAUGGAAUUUAAGUAACUCUCAAAUCCUUCUGCCCAUAUCAGACCAGGGAAGAAAUAAAGAUCUACUCUCUGAUAGUCUGGGACCAAUAUUAGGUUUUAACAACCCAAUGAGAAUAUUAAAGAACUUUUUCUCUCA